rnacentral:rRNA from 1 species
UACGUAGGGGGCUAGCGUUGUCCGGAAUCAUUGGGCGUAAAGAGCGUGUAGGCGGCCAGGCAGGUCCGUUGUGAAAACUCGAGGCUCAACCUCGAGACGUCGAUGGAAACCGUCUGGCUAGAGUCCGGAAGAGGAGAGUGGAAUUCCUGGUGUAGCGGUGAAAUGCGCAGAUAUCAGGAAGAACACCUAUGGCGAAGGCAGCUCUCUGGGACGGUACUGACGCUGAGACGCGAAAGCGUGGGGAGCGAACAGG